GAGCAAUCUGCCCUGACUCUGGGAUAGCGCUGGAACCGGCGUCUAAUACUGGAUAUGAGCUGCGAUCGCAUGGUCAGUAGCUGGAAAGAUUUUUUGGUCAGGGAUGAGCUCGCGGCCUAUCAGCUUGUUGGUGAGGUAAUGGCUCACCAAGGCGUCGACGGGUAGCCGGCCUGAGAGGGUGACCGGCCACACUGGGACUGAGACACGGCCCAGACUCCUACGGGAGGCAGCAGUGGGGAAUAUUGCACAAUGGGCGCAAGCCUGAUGCAGCAACGCCGCGUGAGGGAUGACGGCCUUCGGGUUGUAAACCUCUUUUAGCAGGGAAGAAGCGAAAGUGACGGUACCUGCAGAAAAAGCGCCGGCUAACUACGUGCCAGCAGCCGCGGUAAUACGUAGGGCGCAAGCGUUAUCCGGAAUUAUUGGGCGUAAAGAGCUCGUAGGCGGUUUGUCGCGUCUGCUGUGAAAUCCCGAGGCUCAACCUCGGGUCUGCAGUGGGUACGGGCAGACUAGAGUGCGGUAGGGGAGAUUGGAAUUCCUGGUGUAGCGGUGGAAUGCGCAGAUAUCAGGAGGAACACCGAUGGCGAAGGCAGAUCUCUGGGCCGUAACUGACGCUGAGGAGCGAAAGGGUGGGGAGCAAACAGGCUUAGAUACCCUGGUAGUCCACCCCGUAAACGUUGGGAACUAGUUGUGGGGUCCAUUCCACGGAUUCCGUGACGCAGCUAACGCAUUAAGUCCCCCGC
rnacentral:rRNA from 1 species